UACGAAGGGGGCUAGCGUUGUUCGGAAUUACUGGGCGUAAAGCGCACGUAGGCGGAUUUGUAAGUCAGGGGUGAAAUCCCGGGGCUCAACCUCGGAACUGCCUUUGAUACUGCAAGUCUCGAGUCCGAUAGAGGUGAGUGGAAUUCCUAGUGUAGAGGUGAAAUUCGUAGAUAUUAGGAAGAACACCGGUGGCGAAGGCGGGUCUCUGGGCCGAUACUGACGCUGAGGAGCGAAAGCGUGGGGAGCGAACAGG
rnacentral:rRNA from 1 species